ACAGCAGUAGCCGCGGGAAUACGUAGGUGGCAAGCGUUGUCCGGAAUUAUUGGGCGUAAAGCGCGCGCAGGCGGAUAGGUCAGUCUGUCUUAAAAGUUCGGGGCUUAACCCCGUGAUGGGAUGGAAACUGCCAAUCUAGAGUAUCGGAGAGGAAAGUGGAAUUCCUAGUGUAGCGGUGAAAUGCGUAGAUAUUAGGAAGAACACCAGUGGCGAAGGCGACUUUCUGGACGAAAACUGACGCUGGGGCGCGAAAGCCAGGGGAGCGAACGGGAUUAGAGACCCCAGUAGUCCCUGUCCUUAUACAC
rnacentral:rRNA from 1 species